CCCGCCACUGUGCUUGUCUGUAAGAGUGACCGUGUACUGUCCAGAGGAAGCUCAGAGUGACCCAGCUCUAGGAAGCAGGACUGGUCAAUUCAGUGACUAGCCCUGUGCCAAAAGGCCUGGAACAUGG
rnacentral:snoRNA from 8 species